rnacentral:lncRNA from 1 species
CUCUCUAGCACUUAUUAGAAAAUACUCUGCAAUUAAAUUCUGAUUUAUCAGAAUUUAAAUGCAAUUUGGGCAGAACCUCCUUUCUUGGGUUUGCUGUCACACUGUUGGACCUUUUCUUCCCUUUCUUUCUUGCUCCUUGUCUCUUUAAUUUUUAUUCCAAUUCUCUAAGCCUUUUGGAAGAUUUCUUGUCCUUUAUCAGGACCUUAUCUAGGCUAGAGAGAAGGAAUAAAGAAAAUUGGACAAGCAGAGCCUCUUGUAAGAAAGAAAGAAGAUUUCUGAAUACCCGAGACUCCUCGACGUGCACCCCUAUUUAUAUUGCAUGUAAAGGUGCAAUCCAAAACAUCUCACACCCUCUUACAAAUUAUCUCAUGCCCUUGUCUAUUUCUCACACCCCAUUAGUUAAGAAAUGCCAUGUGUACAUCAAAAUUGGGUUGAAGAAAUGCCUUAUUUCAGAAAGACUCUUCGAUCUUAACUUACGGUGUUUAGAUGAGAAGUCACGAAGCUUCUCUUAUUGGCACCAUCAACCCAUGCCUUUGGAUUUGGAAGAAAGCCCAUCCAAUGGCCAAGAUAUAUGGUGCCAAUUUGAAUAAUGGCGUAAGAGAUUAAUGGGCAUGGAUAAUUUAAAACUUAUCUCCCCAUUUGAAAUUUCAAAGGGGCGCUUCCAAGAGGUGGCGCAUGGAUUUAAUCCUUAUCCUUUUCUUAAUUCUUCUACAAUGAGUUUAAUACUCAGAAGGACUCUUAGGCACCUCCUAAGACAUCUGAAAUACAUUCAUAGAAUAAAGGUUACGGAGAAAAAUAGGAUAGACCUUAUCUAAAGGUGGCGCCAACUCCAUCCAUGCGCCAUGUGGCUCAUGCGCAUG